ACGUACAAACCCAUGGCAUAUGGAAGCACCCCAGCCAGGGACUGAGUCUGAGCAACAGCUGCAAACUACACCAUAGCUGCAGCAAUCCUGGAUCCUUAAAACCCAUUGUGUGGGGCGAGGAAUUGAACUUGUACCUCCAGAACAACCCAAGCCACUGCAGAUGUUUAUCUGGCAGCAAUGUUUAGAUUAACUAACAAGCCAGAGAGGCACUAGAGACAGAGAGUUCCAUUGAAAGCACACUAUAAUUAUAAGCAAGAAGCAAUGAGAGUCUCAACUACUGCUUAUCGACUUAAUACCGCCACAGCGACCCUGUAAGACAGCAAGGAAGAAGUUAAGGUUCUGAGAGGGUAAAUGGCCAUUCCAAUAGAGGAAGUUUGAAAGUUUUUUUGUCUAGUAAUUUAGCUAUGAGUUUUGAUGGCCAGAAAAGUAGAGCGCUGAGAGAAUCUGUAAUCCCAACUCUACAAACAAAACCAUCACAAUUAUAAUACUGAUGUGAGAGCAAAAAAAAAAAAAGCCCCUUUAUUCACUGUAGAAAAGUUUGAUGGCUGGUUAACUGAAAAGGUCAGUUAAAUCGGGGAACUGUAAAUAAUGAUAAACCCUUAUCCAUUUUAUUUUUAAGUUAUUUCAAUAAAUAUUUUCUCUGGUCUUGUAUAAAAACUGUUCAAGAUCUUAAAAAAAUCCUAGAAAACUAAUCAGCUCUUUCUAACAACAUGAAUAUAGUCCUGAUACCAAAAGUGGGUGAAACAGCACAAGAGAGCUAUGGACUAAUCUCAUUUACAAACACAGAUGCAAAGGCCAUAAAUAAAAACCUCUAUUAGCAAGCAGAAUUCAACAGUGAAUUAAAAGAAUACACACUGUGAUAAAAUGUAUUCAGCAACAUGAGUUGCUCAAAACUAGGAUGUCUGAUUCUAUUACAUUGAUUAUUAUAUUACUUACAUAAAUAGAUGAAAGAGAAAAAACAUGUGAUCACCUUCAUAGAUGGAGGGAAAAACCUGGCAAAUUUCAACACCCAUUUAUGAUUUUUUUCCUUUUUAAAAGUUUUAUUGAGGUAUAGCUCAUUUACAAGGUAGUGAUCAUUUCUGCUGUAUGACAAAAUGAUUCAGUUAUACAUGUACAUACAGCCAUUCUCAGAUUCUCUUCCCACACACAGAUUAUCACAGAAAACAAGGUAGAGUUCUCUGUGCUACAGAGCAGGUCCCUGUUGGCCAAUCAUUCCAUAUACCUCAGUGUACACGUGCCAAUCUCUCACAAACUAGAAAUUUAAUCACCAAGCAUAAAGAAGCAUUUCCGUUAAAGACAAGAGAUAUAAAGAUGUCUUUAUCACUGCAGUUAUCAAAUACAGUAUGGAAGACCCUAGGAACUCUGUUAGAACAAAGGUGGAAAAAAAAAAGACAUAAACAUGGAAAAGGAAAAAACUAAAACAGCCAUUAUUUGUACAUAUGAAUUUUACUUAAAAAUCCAGGACAGGUGUUCCCAUCGUGGCUCAGCGGUAACAAACCCAACUAAUAUCCACGAGGACGCAGGUUGGAUUCCUGGCCUCACUCAGUGGGUUAAGAAUUCAUCGUUGCUGUGAGCUGUGGUAUAGGUCACAGACAUGGCUUGGAUCCUGAAUUGCUGUGGCUGUGGUGCAGGCCAGAAGCUUUAGCUCUAAUUCGACCCCUAGCCUGGGAACUUCCCUGUGCCUCAGGUACGGCCCUAAAAAAAAAAGGAAAGGAAAAAUCCAGGACAAUUCACUGAUGAAUCUGAGAAGCAAUAAGAGUUAAAUCAAUGUACAAAAGAAUCAAAAGAUUUCCUACAUACCAAACAACAAGAUUUUUCUAAAUCCUAUUUGCAAUAGCACAAAAGAUUCUCAGGAAGAAAACUAACCCGCUACUCCCCCAAAGUAUAAGAACAUUAUGUAGAAAACCACAUUCAUUUAAGGAAAUAAAAGACUUACAUAAAUGAAGAGAAAGACCAUGUUCAAAAGUUGAAAGAAUCAAUUUGUAAACAUCUACUAUAUAUGUUCCUAUAUUAAUACAUAAAUUUGAUGCAAUCACUAUCAAAAUCCUAGUGGGACUUUUGACAACCUGAUUCUAACAGUCACAUGGAAGAGUAAAUGAGCAUAUGUUUGCACAAAAUUAACAAAGCUGGCAUUACCAAAAAUAUAAGCUAUAGUAUCAAGUAGCAGUGCUAUUACCAACAAAGUUAAGAGAGAGCCCAGAAACAGACUCGUGGGAAGCUAGUAUCUGUUAGAGAAGGCUUUACAAAACAGAAGAAAAAAAAAAAAUCCCUGCACAUGUACACAAAUGGUGUUGGGAUAAUUAUAUUCCUCCAAAUAUCUUCAUGUCGUAACAUAAUACUAGACUGUUUAAAUAACUACAAAAUUUUUUAAAACUUAAAUUUAUCUGAAGACAAAAUAAGAGAAUAACCUUUUAAAUCCUAAAUACAGAAAAGUUCCUAGACAAAAAAUUUUUAAAAAAGGAAAAGAUGGACAAGUUUGACCACAUAAACAUUAACAAUAAAAUUCUUUAUAACAAAAGAUCGGAAGCAAAUAUUUUUGACAUUUAACAUAAAAAAUGUCAUCCAUAAUAUAAAGCAGAACACUUAAAACUAAAAAAAAAAAAGCACAAUACAUUAAUGGGUGUAAGAUGUCCACAACAAUUCAAGAAGAAAAAAAUCCAAAGGCAAAUAAACUUAUAAAAACAUACUCAACCCACCAGUAAUCAGAUAUGGAAAUUAAAGUAAGAUCUAGAAAAUGACUAUAAAUUAAAGCAAACCUUACACAACCACAACCCAAGUUAAGAAACAGAGCACCACCAGUAACUUAAAAGGCUCCAUCCAUCCUUACUUAAUCAUACCCACUUUCUUUCAUCCCUGGAGUAAUCGUAAUCCCUGCCACUCUUCACUUUUGUGAUAAUUAUUCCCUUGAUUUUCUAGUACCUAUAAUUUGUUUCCUGAAUAAUAUGGUUAAUUCCACUUGUUUUUGAACUUUUUAUGAACAGAAUCAUGUUGCAUGUAAUCUUUUGUGAUUUCUAAUAUUUGACCACUAUUAUGUUUGUGAGAUUCAUACCUAUUGAUGCAGGAGCCGUCUGUGCUUCUUUCCUAGUCUAUCUGAAUUAUGUUUUUAUUCCAUACGUGAAUACAAUAUGAUUUAUCUAGCCAAUCCACUACUGAUGGACAUAUGAAUUGUGUAGGUAUUUUGGGGUUAAGAGGAACAAGGGUGCUAUGAACAUUCUUCCGUAUAUAUGCUUCCUAGUGCACAUGUUGAUACAUUACUCUAGGACAAAGGCUAAUUCUCAAAGCAUGAUUUCUGGACCAGCAGCACCAGCAUCACCUGGUACCCCAUGAGAAAUACAAAUUCCCAGGCUCCAACCCACUCCUACUGAAUCAGAAACUCUCGUUGUGGGCCCAGCCAUUCAGCUUCACAAGUCCUCCAGGUGACUCUGAUACACACUCAAGUAGGACAACCCCUCUCUAGAGCAACUGUCUAGGAGUAAUGUUGCUACUUGUAGAAUCUAUUCUUUUCCAAAGUGGCUCUUCGAAUUCACACUCCCAUUAGUAGUGGAAGAGCUCCUACUGCUCCAGACCUUACCAAUGCUUGAUCCUGUCAGGUGUUUAUUGCUGUCAAUUUAGUCUGUAUAAAACAGUCUCUUGUGGUUUUAAUUUCUAUUCCCCUAAUUGUUAAUGAGGAUAAUGAUCUUUUCAUGUUUAACUGAUCAUUUAAAUUUUUUAUCAUCAAACGUCUCCUCCGAUUUUUGCCUUUCUACUUGGUACUGUCUUAGUGAUUCAGAGUUCCUUAUGUAAACUUUUCAUACCAUUUGUCCAUUCACUGUAUGCUGUGGUAGGCAGACAGCCCCAAUGAUCCUCACACCUCUUGGUAUUCAUGCCCUUGCACAACCUCCCCCUCCACCCCUGAAGGUAUUGACUUGCUUCUAUUGAACAGAAUAUGGCAGAACAGAUGGGUUGUUACUUCUAAGUUACAAAAAGACCAUCAACCUAAGUGCCCAACAACAGACAAAUGGAUAAAGAUGUGGUGUUUGUACAUACAAUGAAAUAACACUCAGCCAUUAAAAAAAAAGAAACAGAGUUCCCGUCGUGGCUGAAUGGUUAAUGAAUCCGACUAGGAUCCAUGAGGUUGCGGGUUCAAUCCCCGGCCUUGCUCAGUGGGUUGAGGAUUUGGCAUUGCCAGGAGCUGUGGCGUAGGUCGUAGACGCGGCUCAGAUCCGGAGUUGCUGUGGCUCUGGUACAGGCCAGUGGCUACAGCUCCGAUUAGACCCCUGGCCUGGGAACCUCCACAUGCUGCGGACCUAGGAAAGGACCUAGAAAAGGCAAAAAGACAAAAAAAAAAAAAAAAAAAAAAAAAACGACAGAAACAACGCAAACCUGCCAUUUGCAACAACAUAAAUAGACCUAGAGGGUAUUAUGCUUAAUAAGAAAAAGAAAGAAAUACUGUAUUUAUCACUGAUAAUGUAGACUCUAAGAAAUAAAAAUGAGUGAACAAAACAAACUCACAGAAAUUAGAGAACUCAACUAGUGGUUACCAGUGGGAAGAGGGAAAGAGGGAGGGGCAAAAAAAGGGUAGGGGAUUAGGAGGCUAAAACUCCUAUGUAUAAAAUAAAUAAGCUAUAAGGAUGUAUUAUACAGCACACAGAAAAUAACCAAUAUUUUAUAACAACUUUAAAUGGAAUAUAAUCUAUAAAAAUUCUGAAUCAUUAUGUUGUACACCUGAAACUAAUAUUAAUAUUUUAAAUCAACCAUACGUAAAAAAAAAAAAAGAUUGUAGCUUCUAUCUUAGAAAGUCUUUCUCAUUCUCUGGAUCUUUCAUUCUAGGAAAAGGCAGCUGCCACACUAUAAGGUGGCCCUGUGAAGAGGCCCACGUGAGUGAAUUUGGAAGUGAAUCUUCUGAGGCUUGGCACAUGCACAUGAGGGAACACAGAAGUAGAUCCUACAGCCUUGAGAUAACUAGAGACCCACAGCUAACACCCUGACAGCAGCCUCAUAAGAGACCCUGAAUCAGAAUCACCCAGUGAAGCUGUUCUAAGAUUGCUGACCCACAGAAACAGUGAGAUAAACAUUUGUUUUCAGCUGCUAAGUUCUGGGAUAAUUUAUUACACAGCAAUAGGUAGCUAAUACAUUUGUGUUGCAAACAUCUUCUAUUCUGUGGCCUCUUAACCUUAAGAGGUCUUUUAUCCUCUUAAGGAGUCUCAAUAAAGUUUCCAUUUUUAAUGUAAUAAAAAUGUAUCCAUUUUAUAUAUAUAGUGUUUUUCAGUCUUAAAUCCUUCCCUCAGAGUUCCUAUUGUGGCUCAGCAGGUUAAGAACUCAACUAGUAUCUGUGAGGAUGUGGGUUGGAUCCCUGGCCUUACUCAGUGGGUUAAGGAUCUGGCAUUGCUGCAAGCUCCAGUGUAGGUCAUAGAUGUGGCUCAGAUCUGACGUUGCUGUGGCUGUGGUAUAGGCUGGCAGCUGCAGCUCCAAUUUGACCCCAAGCCUGGGAACUUCCAUUUGCUGCAGGUGCAGCUCU
rnacentral:lncRNA from 1 species